rnacentral:rRNA from 1 species
UCAGGUGGCUACAGCGCCGGGGUUCCACCUCUUCCCAUCCCGAACAGAGAAGUUAAGCCCGGCCACGCCGAUGGUACUGCGUAACAGUGGGAGAGUAGGUAGCCGCCGUCU